UCAGGCGCACACAUCAGACCUCAGAACCCUCUCAUCUUCCUCCAGACAAUCCACAUCAAGGGGUCAGCGCCUGCUAGCUCGGAGCCUGGGCAAGGUCUGCACCUCCCCUGGCUUGUUUAUCUAAAAGGAACUGGAGUCAACUGACCUCAUUUGCAUAACUGGCUGGACAAAGGAAGAUGCACACUGAGUAUCCAUCCCCAUGGCCUGUUGGACUUGAUCUGUUUCUUGCACUCAAAUAUGCAAAAAGUUAUAAGUAAAAAGCCACCUGGGCUCUCUAGGCUAUUUCCGAUUCGGCAGAUCUGAAGUGGAGGGCAUAACACUCCUAUGAGGCAAUGCUUCUUCUGCUCUUGCUAACGCUGAACCACAGAGGGCCUGAAUCUUGGGCCUCAGACAGACGUGGGUUGAUUCCCAAAGAUACCGCUUUCUGUGCAAGAACUCAGAGAACUGA